GAUGGGGUCUCAGGCUCAGCUCUUCUGCCUCCUGCUGCUCUGGAUCCCAGAUGCCAGAGGGGCCAUUGGGCUGACCCAGUCUCCAUCCUCCCUGUCUGUGUCUCCAGGAGAGACGGUCACCCUGUCCUGCAGGGCCAGUCAGAGUGUUAGUAAUUACUUAAACUGGUACCAACAGCCCCCAGGCCAGGCUCCCAGUCUCCUCAUCCGCUAUGCUUCCACCCUGCAGCCUGGGAUCCCUGCCCGCUUCAGUGGCAGUGGCUCUGGGACAGAUUUCUCUCUUACCAUCCGUGGUGUGGAACCGGAGGACAUCGCACACUAUUACUGUCAGCUGAGCUAUAGCUAUUCUCCCAAAUACACAGAAGUUAAGGGUUUAAAAAUAAAAAUAAAAUAA